rnacentral:rRNA from 1 species
CCUACGGGGGGCUGCAGUGGGGAAUAUUGGACAAUGGGGGCAACCCUGAUCUAGCCAUGCCGCGUGUGUGAAGAAGGCCCUCGGGUUGUAAAGCACUUUCAGUGAGGAAGAACGCCUGGUGGUUAAUACCCAUCAGGAAAGACAUCACUCACAGAAGAAGCACCGGCUAACUCCGUGCCAGCAGCCGCGGUAAUACGGAGGGUGCGAGCGUUAAUCGGAAUUACUGGGCGUAAAGCGCGCGUAGGUGGCUUGAUAAGCCGGUUGUGAAAGCCCCGGGCUCAACCUGGGAACGGCAUCCGGAACUGUCAAGCUAGAGUGCAGGAGAGGAAGGUAGAAUUCCCGGUGUAGCGGUGAAAUGCGUAGAGAUCGGGAGGAAUACCAGUGGCGAAGGCGGCCUUCUGGACUGACACUGACACUGAGGUGCGAAAGCGUGGGUAGCAAACAGGAUUAGAUACCCUGGUAGUC